AAUCCAUAGGUUAAUGAGGCGAACCGGGGGAACUGAAACAUCUAAGUACCCCGAGGAAAAGAAAUCAACCGAGAUUCCCCCAGUAGCGGCGAGCGAACGGGGAGGAGCCCAGAGCCUGAAUCAGCAUGUGUGUUAGUGGAAGCGUCUGGAAAGGCGCGCGAUACAGGGUGACAGCCCCGUACACAAAAGCGCAUGUGCUGUGAGCUCGAUGAGUAGGGCGGGACACGUGGUAUCCUGUCUGAAUAUGGGGGGACCAUCCUCCAAGGCUAAAUACUCCUGACUGACCGAUAGUGAACCAGUACCGUGAGGGAAAGGCGAAAAGAACCCCGGCGAGGGGAGUGAAAAAGAACCUGAAACCGUGUACGUACAAGCAGUGGGAGCCCCACCACCAAAGCAUUUGCUGUACCGCGUUGACGGAGCGAAGCGACGUCAAACCGAUAA
rnacentral:rRNA from 2 species